rnacentral:rRNA from 14 species
GACAGAUUGAUAGCUUUUUCUUGAUUCUAUGGGUUGUGGUGCAUGU